CUUGCUUUCUGAAAUCCCUGAAAGAACAGACUCAUUCUUGACAGGGCAAUUUCAGCCCUUGACAUUCCAGGAAAUAGCUCCAUAAUGUCAUUUGGGCUGGGCUUGUAACCAGUCCUAAGAUGUGGAGACACAAAUGCAGCAUGUAAGAUUUCAAAUAUCAGUUCAGGGACCAUUCUUGAUUUUCACAGGGAGUUUAACAACAAAAACCACCAACAGAAGAAAACACAAGCAAGACAUCCUAAUUAAAUUUAACAUUGUCACUACUAAUUAAACCCAAUAUAGGAAGAGGAAGGGUUUCUGCCAAGAAAUUACAGACACAUCCUGAAGCCUAUUUCCUUUCCAUUUCCUAGGUACUGGGUCCAUGCCAUAACCAGGAUGUGACACCCAAACAAGACUGUAUUUUGAUCAUUAAUAUAUACGCAUAAGUUAACCCCACCCUGGGGCCUCAAAGGCCUUUAUGAGAUGUGCUGGUCUUCGCAUUUCGAUGUGUUUCAUUUUCUCUGGGUUCAGUACAGUUGAAAAAGGUUAUGAGACUCAGGUUAAAAGUCAGGAAACGGAUCAGGGCCCUAUACUAUGACAUCAUUUUCUUGCAAUGCAAUGAAGCAAUGACAUUUCCUGGAGGAAAAAUUAUUAGAGAUGACAGGCAGCCUCAGUUAUCUCCAAUAUUUGGAGUGGAAGGUGUCAAGCCUGCAAGCCUCCAGCUCCAGCCUCCUUCCCUGCUCUUCCUUGGCUGGGCCUUCUCAAAGGUGAAGCGAGAGAGAAAGAGAGAGCGAGAGACCAAGCCCACUUCCAUUUUUUUUAAUAGUCCUGGUAUAUUUUUAAAUGAAGAUAUGCUAAAACUUAGUUAUAAAAACUGUGUGAUUUUUCAUUAUUAAAGCAAUUAACACUCUACAACAAAAAAUAUGUGUAAUAUAAGCUUGCAAUUUACAAAAUAGUUUCCAGAUUUAUUUUUUAAAGUGACAUCUAGGCAGAGCUACCUGGUAUGACUGUGCAGGUCGACCAAGGGGAAGAGCGGGGAUUAAAAUCUGGUUCACAAUUGCCAAACCUGGUGCAGGGCUGUAUCUGCCUUUUUCUGAUUCACACAAAUGUUACACCACAAGUGAUAGGUUGUCUUACAAUAGGGCAUAGGUUUAAGUGAACGAUGAACCAGUUUCGUGCUUUCAAUCUUAAGUAUCUCUCUGACUGUAGGAAUAACAUAUCUUGGGGGUAUCUCCAGAAGUAUAAAUUUAGGGAGCUGCCUAAUUGUGAGUCCUGGGACAAAUGAGCCUCCUGGCAGGUCACCCCAGGCACAUAGGGAAUCUUUUCAGAUUUACAAAAAGGUGGUGUUGAUGAGACAACACAGGCUGUGUGAAACACGUGGUUUGGAGAACAGGAGCCCUGGGCUAGGUUUCAGCCUGGCCAGGUGCUUUUGUGCAAAUUGUACAAUUGUAGUGACACUACUGGCCUCCCAUAUGGUAGACCUUGACCUGGACUCCACAUGCAGACGGACCUGCUCCAGCUCUUAAAAACCAGUUUAGAGACCUGAAUCGAAGCCAGAAGAGUUUAAGGGCUUAAGUCAACACACUGAGACUCCACAUCAAACCACUCUUGCUUCUCCAUCUCUGCCUUUAUGACUGGGUUUAGAUAACUGGGCUUCUGCUACAUACCUCUGUUCCAGUGUCUGGGUGCCCGAUGAGUAAUGCCCGAAACUGGGUGUCUAGUCCACUUACCAUGCCCCUUCUGGGGACUGCAGGAAUGUUCCAUAAACAACAAACUGAGGGCUCCAGCCUUUGGACUCUUUUUUCUUCUACUUGUCCUCCCACUUGGAUUCUCCUGGGAGUUAGCAGAAUCCAUCAAGCAAUAACUGCAAACAUGAUAGAAGAGAACAACUCCUUAAUACUUUUUUUCCAUUUCAAAACAAACUACUA
rnacentral:lncRNA from 10 species